rnacentral:rRNA from 1 species
CUAACCGUGCGAAGGUAGCAUAAUCACUUGUUCUUUAAAUGGGGACUCGUAUCAACGGCAUCACGAGGAUCACACUGUCUCCCCCCUCUAAUCAGUGAAACUGAUCUCCCCGUGAAGAAGCGGGGAUUUUUUUAUAAGACGAGAAGACCCCAUGGAGCUUUAAACCCGAUGACACCCCCGCCCCAUCUACACCCACGUAUUCGUUGGGGGCCUGUUCACUCGGUUUUAGGUUGGGGUGACCGCGGAGUAAAACAAAACCUCCACGAAGAAUGGGCUUACCCCCCUUAUCCAAGAGACACAUCUCUAAGAAUUAGUAAACUAAUAUCUAAUGAUCCGAUUUUUUCGAUCAACGAACCAAGUUACCCUGGGGAUAACAGCGCAAUCCACUUCAAGAGCUCAUAUCGACAAGUGGGUUUACGACCUCGAUGUUGGAUCAGGGUAUCCCAGUGGUGCAGCAGCUACUAACGGUUCGUUUGUUCAACGAUUAAAACCCUACGUGAUCU